rnacentral:rRNA from 1 species
CUUUCCCUCUGUCGGCAGGCCUAACACAUGCAAGUCGAGCGGAUGAAGGGAGCUUGCUCCUGGAUUCAGCGGCGGACGGGUUAGUAAUGCCUAGGAAUCUGCCUGGUAGUGGGGGAUAACGUCCGGAAACGGGCGCUAAUACCGCAUACGUCCUGAGGGAGAAAGUGGGGGAUCUUCGGACCUCACGCUAUCAGAUGAGCCUAGGUCGGAUUAGCUAGUUGGUGGGGUAAAGGCCUACCAAGGCGACGAUCCGUAACUGGUCUGAGAGGAUGAUCAGUCACACUGGAACUGAGACACGGUCCAGACUCCUACGGGAGGCAGCAGUGGGGAAUAUUGGACAAUGGGCGAAAGCCUGAUCCAGCCAUGCCGCGUGUGUGAAGAAGGUCUUCGGAUUGUAAAGCACUUUAAGUUGGGAGGAAGGGCAGUAAGUUAAUACCUUGCUGUUUUGACGUUACCAACAGAAUAAGCACCGGCUAACUUCGUG